rnacentral:tRNA from 1 species
UCCCUGGUGGCUCAGAGGAUAGAGCCUCUGCCUGCAAUGCAGGAGACCAGGGUUCGAUCCCUGGCUUGGGAA